CAAAGGAAAUUACGGGCGUAGAAGAGCAGUACGCGCGCGGGGCCCUCAUGCUACCCGCGGCAGCGCUGGAGAGUUGGAGCACCCAAGAGCGCACGCCUGGCUCUCCUCUUGCUCCCUCGCUCCCCCGACCCCAAGUUUCGCUUCUUUGAAGCACCGCCGCUGUGCUUUGCUUGCCAAGGAGCACGCGUGAGGCGGUCCUGUCUUGCGUUCGCUUUCAACACAACGCCUGUGCAGUUCUCUCCGCCUCUCAGGAGCCGGAGAUGAGGAGGCUGAGACUUGCUCAAGGCCAAUUCAGCACAUCAGUGGAUUCUAGGUAAUAACACCAAAGAAAGCACACUAAACUCAACCCCUGCCCUCAAGAAUCUCACAGGUUCCUUCUUACUCAGGAUCCCUGGUGCACAGAGGCCCCACCAUCUGGAAUAUCUCAAGAUGCCCGCUCAGAAGUGACAUUUGUCACUUUUGUCCACACAUCGUGGCUAAUGCAAGUCAAAAGGCCACAACUAAUAUGAAAGGAAAUGCAAUCCUACCACAUGACCAGAAGGUAGAGAAAUGGAGUGUUUCUGCAAAACACUGAUGACGUCCACAUUGACCCCCAUUCCCAUCCUUGACCACAUCCUGUUUCUAGCCAUGCCCUUGUCUGUAACUAUUCUCCUUGCUGGCCACUCUCGGUCCCUCUCAGUCUCCACAGUCUCCACAUUCCUGAUCGUGUCUCCAUGAGCGAUGCUCUGGUUAGGAGGCCAGGAGUCCUGGCAUUGCUUCUGAAAAUGUAGACCUGUGUCUGUUCUUCUCUUCUGGCACCUACCAUAUCACAUAAUGCUGCUUAUUUUCCUGGCUGCUUGCUCUGCUAGGCUGUGAGUUCUCAUUCCAUGGAUGGUGGGCAUUCAUUCUGUGCCCCCUAUGCCUGGCACAAAGAGGAGAUGUGCGUUUGGAAGAAGAAUGGGUAAUUAAAUGAGCAAUAGCAUGAUCCUGUGGUGUCCAGAUGGCCUGAGUUGGGACCCCAGGCUCUGCCCUUAGAUUGGUGUUGUCAGAAAUGCCCAGUGGUCUUGGGAGUGUGUGUGUGUGUGUUGUGUGUGUGUGUGUAGACCCCAGUACUUCAGACACACCCUUAAGGGCUGGGCUGGGGCCUGGCUGAGAGGAGGCAGAUUUGGGUUGGUGAACCUAAUAUGUCAUGUCAUUCCUGGGAGAGGUGUCACCAGGUCAGUGUAGACCAGAGGUUCUCAGUCUCCCUGCCUGCACCAUGACCCACAAGGCAAAUGGCACCCACAUGAAUACCUUGUUAGGGACAUAGCCAGCCUAUGAUCAUAGCACAGACAAGACAGACUCUGGGUUAUGUGUAAUCCCGUGACUGGCUGUGCAUCCAUGGCUUGCUUUCUCUGCAAGGAAGAUGAUCUGAAAGCAAGUGAGUGAGAGUAACGUUUUUAUAGUGUUUUUAAUCAGAACACUUUCUGGCUGUAAGUGGAAUGGAACCAGUUCAAACAGGCUUGUGCAAACACAAGGGAGUUUAUUUGUUUAUUUAUCUAAAAAGGCCAGGGCAAAUGACUUCAGGAACUCCUGCAUCCAGGUGCUCAAAAGUUGUGGCCAGGUGUCUGUUGAUGAGGUUUCUCUGUCUGAAGAACAAACUGACAUUUAUUAAGUAUUUACUUUGUUCUGGUUACUUUGUUAACACUACAUCAUCUCCCAUCACAUUUAAUCCUCACAAUUCUAUGAGGUAGGUUCUGUGAUUGAUUACAUUGAGGAAAUGAAGCUCAGAGAUAUUAGUAACUUGCUCAAGGACACACAGUAAGUGGCAGAGCUGGGGAUUGACUGCUGUCUGCCUUGGUUCUAUAGCCUUACUCUCAGUUCUUGUCCCCUUCCUUCUUCUAGCUUGAGAUUUGUGUUCUAAAUGACACUCAUGCCAACCACAUUUCCAAUCCUCUUGCUCAGAUCCUAGAAAGGUUCCCUGAGAGAGAACAUUUCAUUCUUCAGGGAUCCUAGUUUAAAGGAGUGGAGAUGUUAAUUACCACCUGCCAUUCAAACCUUUUCUGCAGGCAACUUUGCUCUGCACAGCUCCUGUCACCAUAAACUAUCAUCAUUUGUAGUAGAUGACCCCGCCCCUUCUCUUCCCUGCCAUGGCUGAUUGGACUAAAAGUGGCCAUGUGACCCAGGGACAGCCAAUGUAUAGUCUGGCCCACCACCUAUCACUCGUGUGGCUUGGAUGGGUUUGGACAAUUAGCUUCGCUUGUGGAAUUUGAACUGAGAGUCAGAAAAAUUCCCAGUUGGUGGUGGCGGUUGAACUUGAAUGUCACAUAGAUUCAGGGUUGGAGCAGCCAUUUUGGACACUGAGGAAGUCAGGCAGUAGAGAGAGGAGGUCUGGGCAGCUGCGUAAGACUAAAGAUGCCACAAAGGAGUGACUUUCUAAAGGUGAGCAGCUUCCGGAUGGGCUGUGGCUGCCUGCCAGCUGCUUCCCCAUUUCAUCCUCAGCAACAGCACUUUCUGGAACUCUGGAAUACUUUCCACACUUACUGUGGAUUUAAGCAUUUCUUUUUCUCCUUCAGUUUAAAGGCAGAGGGAGUUUGUUGAAAUAAGUUAGAUGGAAUAAAAAUUAAUUCAGUGAGUAUUUACUGAGCCUCAACUCUGUGUGUCAGGAGCUUGUUCUGUGAACAAGACUGGCUUCUGUCAGGAGAUGUGGGUUCUUGUCCCAUUGCUGACCUUUAAUCUUCCCUGUAGGGGUUGCACAUAACCCACCGUCUGUCUUGUAUGUGCUGCUCUGACCAUAGACCAUAUGUGUCCAUAUCAAGAUGCUCAUGUGGAUAUCAUUUGCUGUGUGGGUCAUGGUUGGGCAGGAAGGUUGAGAACCAUUGGUCUAGACUAGCCAGCUGUAUUGACACAUUCUCUCAGGUCUCUAUGAGGCAAAGAGGUUGGAUCACAUACGUGUGAAGGCCUUUCUAGUGGUGAAGAGAAUGGGCUUCCUUCUUCACUGUGAAACCACAGCAGCCGAAGUCUUAGAGGAGGAGACCAGAGGAGGCUCCCCGCCGGCCUGUCCUCUGCUCGCUCCUGCCACCGUCAUCACACUGACUCCCGGAGUAGUUGGCCAACCUGAGGGCCUCUCUGUAGGAUCCUUAGGUGAGUCGGGAAACCCCAUGACCUCUCCUGGGUGCAGAGAAGCAUAUGGAACCACUGGACUGAGGAUUCUCUCUUCUUUUUCUUCCUUCAUCAUUUUUUCUUAUUUUUAACCACACAAAUUAAACUAGUGUAUAGAGCGCAUGCACAGAACUUAAAAAAAUAACAAAAUAAACACCCAGGUUCUUCAGAACUUCCUAGGUUCUCCUCCUCAAUUACAAUUUUCUUCCUUUUCCAAAAUUAGCACCAUCCUGAAUUUUGUGAUAAUGUUCUGUUAAUUUUACUGCUGUCUGGUGUAGUAUUGUACGAACUGGCUAGAUUAUUUAUCCAUUCUGUUGGGGAUGGGUUUCCAGACUUUGGGGGACUAUGAACAUUCUUAUUUAUUUCUCCCAGAACACUUGUUCAAGGAUUUAUCUAGGGAUGUGCUUGGGAGUAUGACUGCUGGCUCAUGGGAUUUUCUUAUAUAAAACUUGAGAGAUAAAUACAGCCUGUUUUCAAAAGUGGUUGUACCAAUUUAUACCCCACCAACAGUGUAUGAGAACUCCUGUUAUUAUACAUUCUUGCUAGCCUUUGCUAAUGUUUUGCUUUAAAAUUUUGGUCCAUCUGGUAGGAAUUGAUAUCUCACUGUGAUUUUAAUUUGCAUUUUUAUGAUUACAAAUGAAGUUGAGCAUCUUUUAUAUGUUUAUUUGUUGUUCGAAUUUUCUCCUGUGAAAUUCUUGUUCAUGUUUUUCAUCAUUUUUUUUUCUAGAGGGCUUUGUCUUUUUAUCAGCUCAGAGGAAAUCUUAAUAUAAUUUGAAUAACAAUCCUGUUAUUUAUUUUAUAUACUGUGUCUUCUCUUACAUGACUAAUAAUAAAGUUCCACUU